CCCUUAGAUGUUCUGGGCCGCACGCGCGCUACACUGACGGAUUCAACGAGCUUACAACCUUGGCCGAAAGGUCUGGGUAAUCUCCAAAAUCCGUCGUGAUGGGGAUAGAUUAUUGCAAUUAUUAAUCUUCAACGAGGAAUGCCUAGUAAGCGCAAGCCAUCAGCUUGCGUUGAUUACGUCCCUGCCCUUUGUACACACCGCCCGUCGCUCCUACCGAUUGAAUGGUCCGGUGAAGCGUUUGGACUAUGGUUUUCUGAUGGUCCGCCGUUGGAUUACCGUGGGAAGUUCGUUAAACCUUAUCAUUUAGAGGAAGGAGAAGUCGUAACA
rnacentral:rRNA from 1 species